rnacentral:misc_RNA from 1 species
AAGUCGUAACAAGGUUUCCGUAGGUGAACCUGCGGAAGGAUCAUUACAAGGUUCUUAGUGACAUCUCGAAAGAGAUCCCUCCCAAGUAUCCCACCCGUGUCUUUAUACUCUUGUUGCUUUGGCGGGGCGUGGCCUCCACUGCGGGCUCUGCUCGUACGUACCCGCCAGAGGACCAAACUCUGAAUGUUAGUGAUGUCUGAGUACUAUAUAAUAGUUAAAAC